rnacentral:misc_RNA from 1 species
CCGAGUGCGGGUCUUUAUGGCCCAACCUCCCACCCGUGACUAUUGUACCUUGUUGCUUCGGCGGGCCCGCCAGCGUUGCUGGCCGCCGGGGGGCGACUCGCCCCCGGGCCCGUGCCCGCCGGAGACCCCAACAUGAACCCUGUUCUGAAAGCUUGCAGUCUGAGUGUGAUUCUUUGCAAUCAGUUA